UCGGUCCGAGAUCGAAAGAGCCUUGGAUCAACUUGAAUUGGCAAAGAUUAAAGAACAAAAAGAUCUCUUGGCCGAACAGAUUAGCCCCCUGAUUGAAUCAGAGAAGGCACGCCUUGUUCGAAGGAAGUGGCACCGCAACUUGGAUGAACUUCCAUCACCAAGUGAAAUGGUGGAAAUCAUUAUUGACCGCUUCGGCAUCAUACAAAAUUUUAGAGGAUUCAAAGACGGUCGUCGAAUUCAUGCAAAUGGUGUGGAAUAUAAUAUAUGAAAAUUUUAAAUUGUCCUGGCUUCAUGCUUCAUGGCCCUAAAAUUAAAAACCUUCCUUUGAUCUCAACAUAUCCGCGGCUGAAGAAGAGCCAGGGGAUCGGUCCGAGAUCGAAAGAGC
rnacentral:lncRNA from 1 species